UACGUAGGGUGCGAGCGUUAAUCGGAAUUACUGGGCGUAAAGCGUGCGCAGGCGGUUAUGCAAGACAGAUGUGAAAUCCCCGGGCUUAACCUGGGAACUGCGCUUGUAACUGGCAAGCUGGAGUGUGGCAGAGGGGGGUGGAAUUCCGACGUGUAGCAGUGAAAUGCGUAGAGAUGUGGAGGAACACCGAUGGCGAAGGCAGCCCCCUGGGCUAACACUGACGCUCAUGCACGAAAGCGUGGGGAGCAAACAGG
rnacentral:rRNA from 1 species